rnacentral:rRNA from 1 species
CAGCCGCCGCGGUAAUACGUAGGUGGCAAGCGUUGUCCGGAAUUAUUGGGCGUAAAGGGCUCGCAGGCGGUUUCUUAAGUCUGAUGUGAAAGCCCCCGGCUCAACCGGGGAGGGUCAUUGGAAACUGGGAAACUUGAGUGCAGAAGAGGAGAGUGGAAUUCCACGUGUAGCGGUGAAAUGCGUAGAGAUGUGGAGGAACACCAGUGGCGAAGGCGACUCUCUGGUCUGUAACUGACGCUGAGGAGCGAAAGCGUGGGGAGCGAACAGGAUUAGAACCCCCGUAGUCCCUGUCUCUUAUACA